AUAGGGUCAAGUGAAUAAGUGCAUCAGGCGGAUGCCUUGGCGAUGAUAGGCGACGAAGGACGUGUAAGCCUGCGAAAAGCGCGGGGGAGCUGGCAAUAAAGCUAUGAUUCCGCGAUGUCCGAAUGGGGAAACCCACUGCAUUCUGUGCAGUAUCCUAAGUUGAAUACAUAGGCUUAGAGAAGCGAACCCGGAGAACUGAACCAUCUAAGUACCCGGAGGAAAAGAAAUCAACCGAGAUUCCGCAAGUAGUGGCGAGCGAACGCGGAGGAGUCUGUACGUAAUAACUGUCGAGAUAGAAGAACAAGCUGGGAAGCUUGACCAUAGCGGGUGACAGUCCCGUAUUCGAAAUCUCAACAGCGGUACUAAGCGUACGAAAAGUAGGGCGGGACACGUGAAAUCCUGUCUGAAUAUGGGGGGACCAUCCUCCAAGGCUAAAUACUCAUCAUCGACCGAUAGUGAACCAGUACCGUGAGGGAAAGGCGAAAAGAACCCCGGGAGGGGAGUGAAACAGAACCUGAAACCUGAUGCAUACAAACAGUGGGAGCGCCCUAGUGGUGUGACUGCGUACCUUUUGUAUAAUGGGUCAACGACUUACAUUCAGUAGCGAGCUUAACCGGAUAGGGGAGGCGUAGGGAAACCGAGUCUUAAUAGGGCGAUGAGUUGCUGGGUGUAGACCCGAAACCGAGUGAUCUAUCCAUGGCCAGGUUGAAGGUGCCGUAACAGGUACUGGAGGACCGAACCCACGCAUGUUGCAAAAUGCGGGGAUGAGCUGUGGGUAGGGGUGAAAGGCUAAACAAACUCGGAGAUAGCUGGUUCUCCCCGAAAACUAUUUAGGUAGUGCCUCGAGCAAGACACUGAUGGGGGUAAAGCACUGUUAUGGCUAGGGGGUUAUUGCAACUUACCAACCCAUGGCAAACUCAGAAUACCAUCAAGUGGUUCCUCGGGAGACAGACAGCGGGUGCUAACGUCCGUUGUCAAGAGGGAAACAACCCAGACCGCCGGCUAAGGUCCCAAAUGAUAGAUUAAGUGGUAAACGAAGUGGGAAGGCACAGACAGCCAGGAUGUUGGCUUAGAAGCAGCCAUCAUUUAAAGAAAGCGUAAUAGCUCACUGGUCGAGUCGUCCUGCGCGGAAGAUGUAACGGGGCUCAAAUCUAUAACCGAAGCUGCGGAUGCCGGUUUACCGGCAUGGUAGGGGAGCGUUCUGUAGGCUGAUGAAGGUGCAUUGUAAAGUGUGCUGGAGGUAUCAGAAGUGCGAAUGUUGACAUGAGUAGCGAUAAAGCGGGUGAAAAGCCCGCUCGCCGAAAGCCCAAGGUUUCCUACGCAACGUUCAUCGGCGUAGGGUGAGUCGGCCCCUAAGGCGAGGCAGAAAUGCGUAGUCGAUGGGAAACAGGUUAAUAUUCCUGUACUUGAUUCAAAUGCGAUGUGGGGACGGAGAAGGUUAGGUUGGCAAGCUGUUGGAAUAGCUUGUUUAAGCCGGUAGGUGGAAGACUUAGGCAAAUCCGGGUUUUCUUAACACCGAGAAGUGAUGACGAGUGUCUACGGACACGAAGCAACCGAUACCACGCUUCCAGGAAAAGCCACUAAGCUUCAGUUUGAAUCGAACCGUACCGCAAACCGACACAGGUGGGCAGGAUGAGAAUUCUAAGGCGCUUGAGAGAACUCGGGAGAAGGAACUCGGCAAAUUGAUACCGUAACUUCGGGAGAAGGUAUGCCCUCUAAGGUUAAGGACUUGCUCCGUAAGCCCCGGAGGGUCGCAGAGAAUAGGUGGCUGCGACUGUUUAUUAAAAACACAGCACUCUGCCAACACGAAAGUGGACGUAUAGGGUGUGACGCCUGCCCGGUGCCGGAAGGUUAAUUGAAGAUGUGCAAGCAUCGGAUCGAAGCCCCGGUAAACGGCGGCCGUAACUAUAACGGUCCUAAGGUAGCGAAAUUCCUUGUCGGGUAAGUUCCGACCCGCACGAAUGGCGUAACGAUGGCCACACUGUCUCCUCCCGAGACUCAGCGAAGUUGAAGUGGUUGUGAAGAUGCAAUCUACCCGCUGCUAGACGGAAAGACCCCGUGAACCUUUACUGUAGCUUUGCAUUGGACUUUGAAGUCACUUGUGUAGGAUAGGUGGGAGGCUUGGAAGCAGAGACGCCAGUCUCUGUGGAGUCGUCCUUGAAAUACCACCCUGGUGUCUUUGAGGUUCUAACCCAGACCCGUCAUCCGGGUCGGGGACCGUGCAUGGUAGGCAGUUUGACUGGGGCGGUCUCCUCCCAAAGCGUAACGGAGGAGUUCGAAGGUUACCUAGGUCCGGUCGGAAAUCGGACUGAUAGUGCAAUGGCAAAAGGUAGCUUAACUGCGAGACCGACAAGUCGGGCAGGUGCGAAAGCAGGACAUAGUGAUCCGGUGGUUCUGUAUGGAAGGGCCAUCGCUCAACGGAUAAAAGGUACUCCGGGGAUAACAGGCUGAUUCCGCCCAAGAGUUCAUAUCGACGGCGGAGUUUGGCACCUCGAUGUCGGCUCAUCACAUCCUGGGGCUGUAGUCGGUCCCAAGGGUAUGGCUGUUCGCCAUUUAAAGUGGUACGUGAGCUGGGUUUAAAACGUCGUGAGACAGUUUGGUCCCUAUCUGCAGUGGGCGUUGGAAGUUUGACGGGGGCUGCUCCUAGUACGAGAGGACCGGAGUGGACGAACCUCUGGUGUACCGGUUGUAACGCCAGUUGCAUAGCCGGGUAGCUAAGUUCGGAAGAGAUAAGCGCUGAAAGCAUCUAAGCGCGAAACUCGCCUGAAGAUGAGACUUCCCUUGCGGUUUAACCGCACUAAAGGGUCGUUCGAGACCAGGACGUUGAUAGGUGGGGUGUGGAAGCGCGGUAACGCGUGAAGCUAACCCAUACUAAUUGCCCGUGAGGCUUGACUCUAU
rnacentral:rRNA from 1 species